rnacentral:tRNA from 1 species
GCGGGAGUGGCGAAAAAUUGGUAGACGCACCAGAUUUAGGUUCUGGCAUCGGAAGAUGUGCGAGUUCAAAUCUCGCCUCCCGUA